rnacentral:rRNA from 1 species
AUUGAACGCUGGCGGCAGGCCUAACACAUGCAAGUCGAACGAGUGGCGGACGGGUGAGUAAUGUCUGGGAAUCUGGCUGAUGGAGGGGGAUAACUACGGGAAACGGUAGCUAAUACCGCAUACCAUCGGAUGUGCCCAGGUGGGAUUAGCUAGUUGGUGGGGUAAAGGCUCACCAAGGCGACGAUCCCUAGCUGGUCUGAGAGGAUGACCAGCCACACUGGAACUGAGACACGGCCCAGACUCCUACGGGAGGCAGCAGUGGGGAAUAUUGCACAAUGGGCGCAAGCCUGACGCAGCCAUGCCGCGUGUAUGAAGAAGGCCUUCGGGUUGUAAAGUACUUUCAGUGGGGAGGCGUUACCCGCAGAAGAAGCACCGGCUAACUCCGUGCCAGCAGCCGCGGUAAUAC